rnacentral:misc_RNA from 1 species
AACGCAAAUUGCGCCCGAGGCUUCGGCUGAGGGCAUGUCUGCCUCAGCGUCGGCUUACACCCUCGCCUCCCUUCCCUUGGUCUCACACCGAGCGAAAGAAGGCGGACCUGGCCUUCCCGGCUCUGCUAGAUUCGUCUAGCUCCGGGUCGGCUGAAGUCGAGAGGCUUGAGCAUGGACCCCGUUUGUAGGGAAAUGGCUUGGUAGGUAGGCACACCCUACACAACCCUGCUGUUGCCCGAGGGGACUUUGCUGGAGGCCUUGCACGGUUCGGUUGUCUGUCCUUUGGACAGCUCCGGAUGUUUUACACUUUCGACCUGAGCUCAGGCAAGACUACCCGCUGAACUUAA